rnacentral:rRNA from 1 species
AUUGAACGCUGGCGGCAGGCCUAACACAUGCAAGUCGAACGGUAACAGGAAGCAGCUUGCUGCUUUGCUGACGAGUGGCGGACGGGUGAGUAAUGUCUGGGAAACUGCCUGAUGGAGGGGGAUAACUACUGGAAACGGUAGCUAAUACCGCAUAACGUCGCAAGACCAAAGAGGGGGACCUUAGGGCCUCUUGCCAUCGGAUGUGCCCAGAUGGGAUUAGCUAGUAGGUGGGGUAACGGCUCACCUAGGCGACGAUCCCUAGCUGGUCUGAGAGGAUGACCAGCCACACUAGAACUGAGACACGGUCCAGACUCCUACGGGAGGCAGCAGUGGGGAAUAUUGCACAAUGGGCGCAAGCCUGAUGCAGCCAUGCCGCGUGUAUGAAGAAGGCCUUCGGGUUGUAAAGUACUUUCAGCGGGGAGGAAGGGAGUAAAGUUAAUACCUGUGCUCAUUGACGUUACCCGCAGAAGAAGCACCGGCUAACUCCGUG